UGAUAAACGAUUUUAGGAUUUCUGAAGUGGGAGUGAGUUGCAGCUUAAUGGCAGAGAAUCCAGGGAAUGCAGCUUAGCCCACAGUUGCCCUUUGAUGAGGAGCCUUCACUAAUGUUCAUGUUUCUGGGUGACAGCCUCUCUCUCACCUGAGCCUACAGUAACUCUGCAAGUAGUCAUCAGGUACUCACAGGUUGACUCCAGAGGAGAGGAACCAAGCUAUACUUGACCUUAAAGCAGCAGGAUGGUCGGAAUUAAGUGAGAGAGAUGCAAUCUACAAAGAAUUCUCCUUCCGCAAUUUUAAUCAGGCAUUUGGCUUUAUGUCCCGAGUUGCCCUACAAGCAGAGAAGAUGAAUCAUCACCC
rnacentral:sRNA from 1 species